UUGCGGUGAAUACGUUCCCGGGUCUUGUACACACCGCCCGUCAAACCAUGAAAGUGACCAACACCCGAAGUCCGAUUCGUCGGCCUAAGGUGGGGGGCAUGAUUGGGGUU
rnacentral:rRNA from 1 species